rnacentral:rRNA from 1 species
CCUACGGGGGGCAGCAGUGGGGAAUAUUGGGCAAUGGGCGCAAGCCUGACCCAGCAACGCCGCGUGAAGGAAGAAGGCUUUCGGGUUGUAAACUUCUUUUCUGAGGGACGAAGAAUGUGACGGUACCUCAGGUAUAAGCCACGGCUAACUACGUGCCAGCAGCCGCGGUAAUACGUAGGUGGCACGCGUUAUACGGAUUUAUUGGGUGGAAAGGGCGUGUAGGUGGGACAGCAAGUCAGAUGUGAAAACUCAGGGCUCAACCCUGGGCCUGCAUUUGAUACUGGUUUUCUUGAGUGCUGGAGAGGCAAGCGGAAUUCCAUGUGUAGCGGUGAAAUGCGUAGAUAUACGGAGGAACACCAGUGGCGAAGGCAGAUUACUGGAUAGAAACUGACGCUGAGGCGCGAAAGCGUGGGGAGCAAACAGGAUUAGAUACCCGAGUAGUC